AGUGAACGCUGGCGGCAGGCCUAACACAUGCAAGUCGAACGGCAGCACGGCAGUAGCAAUACUGUGGGUGGCGAGUGGCGGACGGGUGAGGAAUACAUCGGGAUCUACCCUGUUGUGGGGGAUAACGUAGGGAAACUUACGCUAAUACCGCAUAAGAACUGAGGUUGAAAGCGGCGGACCGCAAGGCGUCGCGCGAUUGGAUGAACCGAUGUCCGAUUAGCUAGUUGGCGGGGUAAAGGCCCACCAAGGCGACGAUCGGUAGCUGGUCUGAGAGGACGACCAGCCACACUGGAACUGAGACACGGUCCAGACUCCUACGGGAGGCAGCAGUGGGGAAUAUUGGGCAAUGGGCGCAAGCCUGACCCAGCAACGCCGCGUGAAGGAAGAAGGCUUUCGGGUUGUAAACUUCUUUUGUCAGGGAAGAGUAGAAGACUGUACCUGGCGAAUAAGCCACGGCUAACUACGUG
rnacentral:rRNA from 1 species